rnacentral:rRNA from 1 species
UACGUAGGGUGCAAGCGUUGUCCGGAAUUAUUGGGCGUAAAGAGCUCGUAGGCGGUUCGUCGCGUCGGCUGUGAAAACCCGGAGCUCAACUCCGGGCCUGCAGUCGAUACGGGCGGACUUGAGUGUUGCAGGGGAGAACGGAAUUCCUGGUGUAGCGGUGAAAUGCGCAGAUAUCAGGAGGAACACCGGUGGCGAAGGCGGUUCUCUGGGCAUGAUCUGACGCUGAGGAGCGAAAGUGUGGGGGGCGAACAGG